rnacentral:tRNA from 1 species
UGCGGGGUAGUUUAUUUAAAAUUUUUACUUUACACGUAAAGGAGUCCUUUUAAAGGACCUCGUAA